GUGCGUCCUGACGCACAGAGCUCAUCACUCGUCUCUUUCCCCUCUUUUGUCAGCAGGCAGCGCACACUCUCAUCAGGACCAUCCACAUGCCUACUCCCACCUGCUAAUUUCCACUUCUUGCUGCCGUUCCCCUUCCCUCACUAUCUGUUGCCUUCCCACUUCUCUGCACAUCUCCAUCUCUUUUUUCAUCUAUCACCUCCUCUGCAAUGUUCUCAUUUAAUCAUCCCCUCAAGAAAUACAUUCACUUGUGAGCUACCAAGCUUCUAUUAGAUCACAUAUUCUGUUGUUACAACUGUUAUCAUAGCCAAUUCAAUGCUGUCAGGGAGUCCAGCAGCUGCCGAGUACACAAUGGUCCCCUUUAGAAGUGCACACAAAGAGAACAGAACCGAAUGUGUUUACAACUCCAUCAAAACGAUCUGAAGUUACGAGCAGAGUCUGCAAACAACAGCGAUGGAUGAGGCCAAAACACACUGGAUCUUCAACAAUCUUAUGGUUGAAUGACCUAAGUAAAUGAAUAAAGACAAUAAAUAUGUUUGUCGUUGAGCUCAUGUGUCUAUUUAUUCAGUAAUUUAGCAGCAAAAGAGACUUUUGACUUGAAAAUGUUGCUGACUUUGUUGAUAUGUGGUUUUCUGUUAAAGUUUGAUUAGCUGCCAGUAAUUACAAACCCUGCAAUGAACUCAAUUUUAUUUACAUUUAGACAUUUAGACAGACAGACAGACAGACAGACAGACAGACAGAUAGAUAGAUAGAUAGAUAGAUAGAUAGAUAUGUUAUCUGCAGAACUAAAUGCUAAUUUAGUUCUUUCACAUGCAUGAGGUGGACUCAGAAAAUGUUCCAGUCCAUAUCGCCAGGCUGUGUUCCCACAGGAGAGGGUCUGACUUUAGUUGAGGCUGGUUCAAAUCUUCAAAUCAAGUCGGCUCUAUGAAGGUGGAGCGGUUUGAAGAUGAAGAGGGGUGGGGGCACAUCCAGUCCUACGAAGGACAUAAUGAAAUAUCAGUUCUCUAAGAGGCUUGUUCUACUUUCAGGCCAGCUGCAGAGUCCAGUUUAAGCAUACAAUGAAAAAAAUCCUAUUGGUCC